rnacentral:rRNA from 1 species
UACGUAGGGUGCGAGCGUUGUCCGGAAUUAUUGGGCGUAAAGGGCUCGUAGGCGGUUUGUCACGUCGGGAGUGAAAACUCAGGGCUUAACCCUGAGCCUGCUUCCGAUACGGGCAGACUAGAGGUAUGCAGGGGAGAACGGAAUUCCUGGUGUAGCGGUGAAAUGCGCAGAUAUCAGGAGGAACACCGGUGGCGAAGGCGGUUCUCUGGGCAUUACCUGACGCUGAGGAGCGAAAGUGUGGGGAGCAAACAGG